rnacentral:rRNA from 1 species
CUAAGUACCCCGAGGAAAAGAAAUCAACCGAGAUUCCCCCAGUAGCGGCGAGCGAACGGGGAGGAGCCCAGAGCCUGAAUCAGCAUGUGUGUUAGUGGAAGCGUCUGGAAAGGCGCGCGAUACAGGGUGAGAGCCCCGUACACAAAAGCGCACGUGCUGUGAGCUCGAUGAGUAGGGCGGGACACGUGGUAUCCUGUCUGAAUAUGGGGGGACCAUCCUCCAAGGCUAAAUACUCCUGACUGACCGAUAGUGAACCAGUACCGUGAGGGAAAGGCGAAAAGAACCCCGGCGAGGGGAGUGAAACAGAACCUGAAACCGUGUACGUACAAGCAGUGGGAGCCCCACCACCAAAGCGUUUCGCUUUGCGUGGUGCGCAAAAUGCGUAACGACAGCACGAUUGCGGUUAACGGAGCGUAAGCGACGUUCAACACAAAAAUCAGGCAGUGGAGCGUUUUGGGGUGGGGUGACUGCGUACCUUUUGUAUAAUGGGUCAGCGACUUAUAUUCUGUAGCAAGGUUAACCGCAUAGGGGAGCCGGAGGGAAACCGAGUCUUAAU